UACGUAGGGGGCUAGCGUUGUCCGGAUUUAUUGGGCGUAAAGAGCUCGUAGGUGGUUCGGUAAGUCGGAUGUGAAAUCUCCAGGCUCAACCUGGAGGGGUCAUUCGAUACUGCCGUGACUAGAGUUCGGUAGAGGAGUGUGGAAUUCCUGGUGGAGCGGUGAAAUGCGCAGAGAUCAGGAGGAACACCGGUGGCGAAGGCGGAUCUCUGGGCCAUUACUGACGCUGAGGAGCGAAAGCGUGGGGAGCGAACAGG
rnacentral:rRNA from 1 species